rnacentral:lncRNA from 1 species
GGAGCUCAAGUUCAAAGGCUAAGAAGUGGCCAAGCAGAUCCCAUCAGCCGGGGGCCUCCUCCACCCCCCGAUGCUCAAGGAGUGGUGAGGAGCAAGUAGAAUGAAGAGACAGCCCUUUGUAAACGCAAGUGCACCGAACACGAUGGGGCUGUCAUCCUGAAGCGUGGGAGAAACGGGAAGGGGCCCCGUCUGGAGAUAAGCAAACUAAGGCUUGGAGAGCUGAGAGCUGAGAUCACAGGCCCAGGCUGUAAGAGGGAAGGUGGGACCAGAAAGAAUCCACAUUGCUCUCACCACCUCAAGAACUCUGAGGGCUGUGCUCACCGCUGUUCUGAAGCAUCACUUCCGCUCUGAAGAUCAGGGCAGCCCGAUUUCCCACGCGAGAGCGGAUAGGUACUGUUCCAACAUUCAACAAUUCCAUGUUAGAAAUACACUUGAAUUUGCACGCUGGAAAUUUUGAGAGGUAGUGGGGCCCCUGUGCCUGGAGUUGGGAGCACCUGAGCUGAGGAAGUGUAGAUAUGAAAAAGGACACGUGAGGACCGCUGAGCGGUUGGUGUAAAUGAAUCACCAUGUUACUUUUACGUUUUAAUAGCAGGAAAACGUCUUCUCUUCUCAGGCCCUCUUGUUAGGUUGGAGGACUAAGGUAGGCGGGCACAUGUGGGUUACAGUGAUGUGUGUCAGAGCAAGACAGUGCUGCCGCUCCCAGUGCAGGGGUGCCAGCCUCCUGGACACUUCCUGGCUUGUUCACAAGCUCUUUGCAAUCAGAGAGCCGCAGCACCGACCCACAGGGCUGCCCAAGACCCUGGGGCACAACUUUCUUCAGAUCUUGUUUCUUUUUUAUUUAUUUCUUUCUGUUUUUUAGGGCUGCCCCUGGGAUCUGAGCCAUGUCUGUGACCUACCCCACAGCUCACGACCAUGCUGGAUCCUUAACCAACUGAGCAAGGAGAGGGAUCGAACCCUCACCCUCCUGGAUACUAGUUGGGUUCAUUACUGCCGAGCCACGACAGGAACUCCUCUUUAGUUCUUGUUUUAUUCAUUCAUUCAUUCAUUCAUUCAUUCAUUUACUUAUUUAUUAUGGCCCCAGAGUGGCUUAUGGAAGUUCCUCAGCCAGGGGCCUGAAUCCACAGCCACACCAGAUCCUUUAACCCACUGCUCCGGGAUGGGAAUUGAGCCCACGCCUCUGCAGUGACUGGAGCUGCUACCCCAGUCUUCGGAGAGUCCCAGAGCCUGCCUCUCAGAGCCUCUCGUCUGGCUUUCAGGGUGCAAAGCCCCUCCUCCCGCAGGUGCCAUGUCCCCACAGGGCACUCCCGCCCAGUUCAGCCUCCGCCCUGGCCCCUUUGAGACUCCCCAGCACCAGCAGGACAAAUCACCCUCUUCUCUGGGCUAGGCUGGGCCUUUGGGUUUGUUCUGUUGCCCCCUCGUUCCGCAUCUGCCUCCUGCGGGCUGGUCAUCACGCAGACGGGAUUGAAGAAGGCAUGUCCCCCCGGCCUCCCUCUCAGGGUGGAGCAGCCAUCAUUCCUGGUGCUCAGCUGCCCGGAAGUCUCCCUUUCAUCCUCGUGAUGGUUAAUUUCCGUGUCCACUUGCCUGGGCUAAGGGAUGUCCAGACAGCUGGUCACACAUCACUUCUGGGUGUGUCUGUGUGGAAGGUUCCAGAAGAGAGGAGCACUGGAAUCAAUGGACUGAGUGAAGAAGUGGAUGGGCAUCACCCGUUCCCCGAGGACGCAAACAGAACAUAAAGAUGAGCCACGUGCUCUCUGAGCUGGGACCUCCGCCUUCUGCUUUUGGGCAUCACGCUUCUAAGCUCCGCAGAACUUUAGACCCAGACUGAAUUCUACCACCCACUUUCCUGCUUCUCCAGCUUGCAGAUGACAGACUGCGGGGGUUUGGAGCCUCAUAAUUGCAGGAACUAAUUCUUGUACUAAAUGUAUAUAAAAUGUAUGUUUAUAUAGAAAACUU